CAGAGUAAGAGCAGGAACAGUGGAAGAUGUGUGUGUAUGUGUGUGUGUGUGUGUGUGUGUGCAUGCACACAUAGGUAUGUGCUAAAGCACAUUUUAGAGCUGAUGAUGGUCUUGAACAUGGGACCUGUGGCAAGUCUCAUUUCUGUCUCUUCAGCAGAAACCUCCUGUUGCCAAACCUGGGAGGGAGGUAGCCCAGGCUUCUACUAGGAUACAGAGGCUAUGCAAGGCAACCACCUGUGACCACUAGACCAAAUCUUCCUGGACUACUGAGAUUUAUUAGAAGAACACCUUUCUGCAGUGUCAACAAAUCUUGAAUCUCUGCUGUACACUGUGACUCGUGUGUAAAGUCUGUAUCCUGAUGGCGGACCCAAAGUUUCAGCAAGUUACAACAUCAGAGUCUGCUGCAAUGUGGCCAAAAAUAAGCCACAUUCCACACCAUGUCCAGAUGCUUUGAAGAAAUCUAAAAUGACUUUUUAAAGAUCGCUUUAGAUAAAUAAAACUUGAGCUAGCAAAAGAAGCCCUUUCCAG
ensembl:lncRNA